AGCUGUGCAACAAGUGAUGGUGCAAGAACGGAAUAAUUGGAGACCAGCCCUGUGGAACAACGUAGAGAAGUUGUAAUUUGAUGCUUAAUUGUCUACCUCUCGGAAAAUCCUGAGAAUCUCAUCAAGCAUUAUCAGGAUACUCAUGGGAACAAGGAGGAACUGGAACAGCUCACACUGAAGAUCAUCACAAAAGGUGGCUCAACAGAUGAUCCAUUACAGACUGGGAUAGUGCUGGAAGGCAUAGAGGUGAUGGCGGGAUUGGCAGGUGUUGCGAAGGCUUGUGUUUUUCUGCUUGGCCUAAUUUAUGCAAUUAAUCCGAGUUACCCCAAAGAGCUCAGGUACUCAUUUGAAUUUUUUCAGAAGAUUCUACUGGAACAAGACAGUGGCAAACUUUUUAACUCAAUUUUUCAAGGGUGAAAAAUCAAGGAAGUGACAUGUUGGAAGUGAACUUCCAUUUGUCGAUUUGUCACAUUUUGGUGUACAUUCAUGAUGUGUGGU